GAUGAACGCUGGCGGCAUGCCUAAUACAUGCAAGUCGAGCGAACGGACGAGAAGCUUGCUUCUCUGAUGUUAGCGGCGGACGGGUGAGUAACACGUGGAUAACCUACCUAUAAGACUGGGAUAACUUCGGGAAACCGGAGCUAAUACCGGAUAAUAUUUUGAACCGCAUGGUUCAAAAGUGAAAGACGGUCUUGCUGUCACUUAUAGAUGGAUCCGCGCUGCAUUAGCUAGUUGGUAAGGUAACGGCUUACCAAGGCAACGAUGCAUAGCCGACCUGAGAGGGUGAUCGGCCACACUGGAACUGAGACACGGUCCAGACUCCUACGGGAGGCAGCAGUAGGGAAUCUUCCGCAAUGGGCGAAAGCCUGACGGAGCAACGCCGCGUGAGUGAUGAAGGUCUUCGGAUCGUAAAGCUCUGUUAUUAGGGAAGAGUAUAUGUGUAAGUAACUGUGCACAUCUUGACGGUACCUAAUCAGAAAGCCACGGCUAACUACGUG
rnacentral:rRNA from 1 species